ACUUGAGUAGCUUAACAAUAGAGCAUAACAUUGAAGAUGUUAUGGAGAUAAUUUUAUCCUCGAGUG
rnacentral:tRNA from 1 species